rnacentral:tRNA from 2 species
GGUCCUGUAGUAUAACGGAUAGUACGCAGGUCUCCGGAACCUGAGAUUCGAGUUCGAUUCCCGACAGGACCAC